ACCUGGAACAGGAUUCCAGUUCAGACCUGAAAAGGUUUCACCCUCAGUUUUAGCUUCAUUUUCUGAAGAAACCAGAACUUCUCCAGAUGGUUCUGAGGAGAUCACCCAGCAGACAUCAGGAGGUGCAUGAAGUAGUGAAGGAGAGGACAAUCCAGACCCAGAUGGUACCUGCUGAACUCAGGCUGACUGAAGUCCAGGAGAUGGAGAACAGAGCAGAACCUCCAGGAUCCAGCUUUCCGUCUAUCAGGAGUGACCGGUCCAGAGGAAAACCUCCAGACUUCACUUCUGAACCUGGACCCUUAGACUCAGAAGGUCAGAACCACAGACAGAGAGCAGAACCUCCAGGAUCCAGCUGUCCGUCUAUGAGGAGUGACUGGUCCAAAGGAAGACCUCCACACUUCAGUGAAGAACCUGGACCCUCAGA